rnacentral:lncRNA from 1 species
CGUCAUUGGAUCUUUUGAUACUAUUCCCAAUUCGAACAAAAUUAUUUUGCUAUAUAAUUCAUUUUGAAUCAGUCGGAUGACGCCACCUGCCGUGGUAAUGAUGUCAUUCCAUUAUGUCAUGGCCACGUCUCACAACGAUUACGUUUCGUGAUGUCAUACAUCGUUACCUUACUAAUGGCGUCGUCCCUAAUUCAAGUUCGAUUUGGGAUUUUCGUUGCACCCAAAAUGCUCCACUCCUGGCCAUCUCGAUCGCAGCCAGCCUAUGUUAUGGUGCCGCGGGAAAUAUCUACCUGUGGUAGGCGAGACACUACAAGUGGUAAAUGCAUAAUCUCGACUUCCUGUUUGUAUACGAUGCAUAUUUUUGUUGGCGGUGCUGAAAUUUUUGAAUUUUGGAUUUGGUGGUACGCAUUUACGAAAAUGUUGAGAACAAGUUGAUUUAGACCAAGUUUGGUCCCGAAGAAUUAAACGGUGUGAGAGUUUUGGCGGAACAGACAUAAGAUGAAACAAACAUUGCAUUAUGUAUAUGUAGAAAGUAUUAAGAAUAUCUUCUAGCAAAUAAACAUACUUUUCUAGAAAUCGACAGAG